AUAUUUACAACAAUUCACAACAAAUUUUAUCUAUUUUCCUUGAUCUUGACGAAGUAGGUAUUUUUGUUUAUAAAAACAGAGAUUUCAAUCAAUCGUGUCGUUCUUUUUUGACUUCUCACAAAUAUAAAUAUAAAGUUGAUAGUUGAAUAUACAUUGAAUCGUCAUGUUUUUUUGGAGAAAACCUCUGAAACGGUACAUGGUCAAAAAAGUAGAGAAAAGAAUCUCUUGAAUAGGUUUUUGGAACACGGCAUGUCUUGGAAAAUGUUAACAGACUUCUCAGCGUGCAGCUAGAUGGCCAAAAAGACAGUGCCUAAAUGUGAAGGUGUUUCUGCGUUUUUCAUUUUUGGCUAUGAACUGUGUGAAAAGGAAAAGAAAGCCCCUCCCUCUCUCUUUAAUUGGUACUUCAGAGGCAAAGAAAUGAUCAGCAUUAUAAACGGAGUCGCCCAAUAGGAGUCCAUGAAUGUUGUGUUGAUGAUAUGACAGAAUCCUGUGAAGAAAGAACGGGACUACUGUAGUGUUGCAUGGCUUAAAAGUGGUUCUAAACUGAGUCACCCAAUAUUCAUAUUUCAUAGCUUUCAGUUGUUUCGUUUUUUUUUUAAUCUUUUUCCUCGCGUGAUUCAGUUAUCGAAUUUGAAGCAAAUUUAACAAAAGUGACAAACUCAGUGAAUUUUAAAAAAGGACUUGAUGUUAAUUUUCCCGGGAGCCAAUCCUCCACAGUCCACACCAACUUAAAAGUCAACUUUUACUGAAGCUUUGUCCCAGCGAAUCAGUCAAUAAACAAAGCAAAACGUGCCUCUUUGUGCAUCAAAAGAGAUACGCUUCUUUUUACUAGUGGGCUGUAGAAAUGCGCAUCAUUCAUCCACAGUAACACAGACAGCUUUGUACGUACUCCAUCUUCCCGUUGAUGACUUGAUGACUUUUUUAAAUGCUCCAUUAUUCUUGUCAGGUUUGUUUUCUUAAAUGUAGUUUCAUGUUAUAAAUCCGUCCAUCACCAAUACCCUAAAUUUGCCGCCACUCGAAUAAUACCACUGAGCACUUGCUAAAACUUUUGUGUUCAAGUGACUCAACUGGUGAAGGGCUCAACUUGUCAUAUCAAUGCAUCAAUCACUGCAUCUGAAAUUUUCGUGCUGUAAUCUUCAAACAGAGGAUCCCAGAACAACCCCUGAAACCAACUGAAUGAUUGCUAAAUUCUUUUUUUUUUUUUUUUGGGGAGGGGGGGGACAAGUGGCUUCUGGAAAAAUCUUCCAAAAAAAUUAAGUCAUCUAAAGGAAAAAGAUUUGACCCUGCCACCAGGACUCUGGGGGAAGAUGGUAUUACAUAUGCACUGAUCCCUUUGAAAUAUGUUGUCCUCAAAUAUUUACCUUGAAGUUAUAUAUGCUAUCACCCUCGCUUCUAUCACAUUCGAAAGGUUAAGAUAUUUGCUGAUAUUGGUUUUCUUAGUUGUGUUCUACUGAAUGAUACAAUUGAGAGCGAAUUGUUAAUCUGUUCUCAUUUUGUAGUUUGUUUAUUACAUAUGUGGACUAGACAUCUACUGGACUCCGUGGCGUUCAAAUAUUCUUUUUCUCGACUAAAUUGGGUGAAUGGUUAUAAAAAAAAUUCUACUGCAAAAAAUUAUCAGCCAAUGUGUGCGCACUUUGGAAAUGGUGGGUUAUCUCUAUCUUUCUCGCUCUCUCUGUUUACUGUCAAAUCAACUUUGAUUCCUUGGGGGUUGCAGAGUAAAUUGGCGUUUCAUGUCUCACAUGCUCGCCGCACGAUAUCGCAAGUGCUACGGUGAACUUGUAACCUAAAAGUCUCUUUUUUUUCUUCGCUGUUCGUCUGAUAUUACCUACAAUAAGAUAUCCUUUCAAUUCAUUAUCAGGCUACUCUUCUAUCUUGAUAUUGUGCCAGCUGAAAUGAAUCAUUGUUAAUGACGUUUAAGAAAGAAGCCUAAAGUCUUGGCAGUUACUUAUACUCUGGGCAUGCACGGCAUUUUUUUUUUUUUUUGGGUCUAAAGGAACUUGGUGUCUAAGUUCAAAAAUUUUGUUUUCUUAACAAUCUUUCUAUCUAUUCAUAUAUUUAUGCAACCUGCUAUGGACUGUGAGGCUUAUUUCUACUUCAUGCAAGGUCACCGAAUUUGCCAUUAAACAAUUGCGUGGGUAGCAAUUAUGUUUUCCUUUUAAUAUGUGUUGCAGUUAAUUCUGUCAUUUAGCAAUGGGAUUUUAUAGCAAAUAAAUAGCAUAAAUACCACAGGCUGCAGCAGCUGCUGCCGUGACAUAUGGAGCCAUUUUCUAACAGUACAAACUAGCAUUUGUAUUAACUCUUGAUUUAAUUUAAGUGAUAAAGAGUUACUGAUUAAAGUUUUGACUUUCUUAUGUCAAUGACUGUGAACUAAUAUCAGUUAACCAAAGGAUCAAUCCCUGGGACGGUUUUCUCUUGCAGGAUGACAUCGUGCUAUACAGCUGCACUUGAUGAAUAAAACAAAUUAAUGAAAAGUGACAGCCAAAUGAUUGUUCAGACUAAAUCAAGGUUCAUAUAAUUCACUGUGUUUUCCUAGAUUAUAUCAGAAGAAACGAAUUUCAUGCUAACCCACCACUUUAAUUUAGCACAUAUUUUUAUUAUACUGUGUGAUUGUUGGCUUAUAGACUUUUUUUAUUUGCCUGCAUGUUGAGUUGGAGUACGAAUGACAACUGAGUCGAGAAUUUACCUUCAUAAACGAGAAAUAUAUUCCUGGUUGCUUAUGUUCUUCAUUUCCUGAAGCUCCCUUGGAUAAUAUUUCGUCUUCAAAAAAUCCAAAAGGGUCAUAAUUGCGUGUCCGUCUGUGUUGCCGAAUGAAACAAGCCAAAUGGGACCGGGUGAAAAGGGUUACAUAGCUGCAGCACUGUCAAAUAACCAUUUUCUGAUCUGGUGAUUCUAUAUGGCCCCUUAAUGGCUAUGGUUGCAAUGCGAGUUGGAAUACAAUAAAAUCUGCAGGCUUUUUAGCAGUAUCCCACUACAUGACUGUGCUAGGGGACAAGCGUGAAUCCUUGCGUUAUGAACAUUGAUAAGACUCUGUUUCAGGAAAAAGGUAUGAAUAGGCAUUCCAUUGAGCACAAACAAGACUGAGUUAUGCUGUGCUUGAGCUGCAUGUACUCAGUUUUGUGACUCUCAGUCUUGCUUGCAUUGCACCCGCAUGGUGAUUAUAUAAAGCCUACUUUGGUCACAAAAAGCAUGCUUAGUUUUUUAAUAUUAUAUGCCUUCCUUUCUACUCUAGUUGGUUUUUUCGCUUAGGAUCCCAACAUCUGUCUCUUGCCUGAGGAUCAUUACCCAAACGAGAAAUACAACUAACCCUUAACAAAAAUAGGAUUUCUGAUCUAGAGCACCCCUCCUCGCCGGAAAAAAUAGAGAUCAAUCCGUACAGAUAAAAAGUUAAGGACGUGAGGGAUCACGCCUUAAUUAAGUUAGAUUAUUACCAUGAGUUACAGCUGAGUAUGACUGUUUGUAUCUAAGUGCUCUCUCUCUCUCUCUCUCUCUCUCUCAGAGACUGCACAGGUUAAAGUUUUCUGUUAUUUAUGGAAUAUUUUAUGCACUUGAGAUGCCCAUUAUUGUACUUCAUCUUCUUGAAAAAUCAAAUAUUAAGAUAAAUCAAAUCAUGUAUGUAAAGUUGAUUUUAUACUAUGUGAUUAUCUUAUUGAUUUUGUGCUAUCUUUCUCAAAGUUAGAAAUUAAAAAAAAAAAAAAAAGCAGUAAGGGCAGCCGGGCAACUGAGAUGGUGGGGCCAUAAUUCUCUUGCAAGUGUGCAAGACUAAGAGGUGUAGGCUGCUAUUGUUCAAACAGGACUAUGAUAGUCCAAUUAGGACUAUAAAAUUUAAUACGAAAAGAAGAAAAAGGAAGUUGGGACUCCACUUGAUGUUCAAUCAAAUCCCAGAUGGGGCAGAGAUAGUGUUGUUUUGAAGAUUCAUGCUGUCUCCUACCCCUUUACCUAAAAGUCUUUGUUCUGAUUAUGACAACCAUUUCACAUGUUGAACUUGGACACAUUACUAAAGUGCUUGUUUGAGGGUAGUAAUUCUUUUUUCACCUUUUUAUUUUGGAGUGCUGGUUUAAGUGUUGUCCUGCUUGGUUGCUCUUUUUGGUUGGAUUUGGGCUUUUGGGCAUUCUCUGCUGGCUUUAUUUUGUUCUAUUUUUAUGAAAAACAAAUCAUACAAAAAAUCGAAGCUUGUUAACAUGCCGACAUAAUUAGGUGACGGAGAAAGUGAUUAUCAAAUAGUCUAAACUUUGAUUAUCA